rnacentral:lncRNA from 1 species
GAAAAAUCUGGAUGUGUUCUAAAGCCUUCUGAAGACAUCAAAAGCCAAACAUCGAACAUUUCAAAUGGGCUUAAAGCAUUGUUUUAGAGGUGUGAAUAAUGAAGCCAAGGACAUUAGCAACAUCAUGAAAGCAGAUUCCACGUGCUGCACACUUCAUAUGCACAUCGUUAUUUCCUGCUGUCACCUCUGUGGCUCUUUAUUCAUAUGAUGAAGCCCUGCC